AUGCCAGUGAGGUCCGUGUGCCGUUUCCUGUGCGUGUCCAAGGAGUGGUACGUCCUCAUCUCUGAUCCAGCCUUCGUCGCCGCGCAUAAAUCUCGCCAUGCCGAGCCGCUCAUGGUGGCCAGCUGCGCUGAGGACGAAGCCAAGAGCUGGUGCCGCGACCUGCGGUUGAUGGACAUGGAGGAUGGUAAUGUCGUCAAGGUGCUGAAGGGCAUAGACGGCUCUCCCGUGAUCUCCACGAGCUCAGACGACCUCAUAUGCAUGGCAGAUUACUCUUAUUCUUAUGCUAGCGCCCAGGUGAUCGACCCGGCCUCGGGGAAGGUGCUCGUGGACUGUCCGAAGCAACAAAACAGGAUGGUGUGCACCUUCUUCGGCUCCGGCCGUGUCUCGCACUUACAAGGUGGUCAAGGUCGAUGA
rnacentral:rRNA from 1 species